rnacentral:rRNA from 1 species
UACGUAGGGGGCAAGCGUUGUCCGGAUUUACUGGGCGUAAAGAGCGCGUAGGUGGGAGAGCAAGUCCGGUGUGAAAGCCCCCGGCUCAACCGGGGAAGGUCGCUGGAAACUGCUCUUCUUGAGGUGGACAGAGGGAAGUGGAAGUUCCUGGUGUAGCGGUGGAAAUGACGUAGAUAUCAGGAGGAACACCCAUGGCGAAGGCAGCUUCCUGGGGUCCAAUCUGACGCUGAGGCGCGAAAGCGUGGGGAGCGAACGGG